rnacentral:rRNA from 1 species
CUUAGCAGAGAUGCUUUGGUGCCUUCGGGAACUCUGAGACAGGUGCUGCAUGGCUGUCGUCAGCUCGUGUUGUGAAAUGUUGGGUUAAGUCCCGNAACGAGCGCAACCCUUAUCCUUUGUUGCCAGCGGUUCGGCCGGGAACUCAAAGGAGACUGCCGGUGAUAAACCGGAGGAAGGUGGGGAUGACGUCAAGUCAUCAUGGCCCUUACGGCCAGGGCUACACACGUGCUACAAUGGCGCAUACAAAGAGAAGCGACCUCGCGAGAGCAAGCGGACCUCAUAAAGUGCGUCGUAGUCCGGAUUGGAGUCUGCAACUCGACUCCAUGAAGUCGGAAUCGCUAGUAAUCGUAGAUCAGAAUGCUACGGUGAAUACGUUCCCGGGCCUUGUACACACCGCCCGUCACACCAUGGGAGUGGGUUGCAAAAGAAGUAGGUAGCUUAACCUUCGGGAGGGCGCUUACCACUUUGUGAUUCAUGACUGGGGUGAAGUCGUAACAAGGUAGGCGUAGCGAG